UACAGAGGUCCCGAGCGUUGUUCGGAAUUAUUGGGCGUAAAGGGUGCGUAGGCGGUAGGAUAAGUUAGAUGUGAAAUGUCGGCGCUUAACGUCGAACCUGCAUUUAAGACUGUCCUGCUUGAGCGCUAGAGAGGAGUCUGGAAUUUACGGUGUAGCAGUGAAAUGCGUAGAUAUCGUAAGGAAGGCCAGUGGCGAAAGCGAGACUCUGGCUAGAUGCUGACGCUGAGGCGCGAAAGCGUGGGGAGCAAACGGG
rnacentral:rRNA from 1 species